GAUGAACGCUGGCGGCGUGCCUAAUACAUGCAAGUCGAGCGAACGGACGAGAAGCUUGCUUCUCUGAUGUUAGCGGCGGACGGGUGAGUACCACGUGAUAACCUACCUAUAAGACUGGGAUAACUUCGGGAAACCGGAGCUAAUACCGGAUAAUAUUUUGAACCGCAUGGUUCAAAAGUGAAAGACGGUCUUGCUGUCACUUAUAGAUGGAUCCGCGCUGCAUUAGCUAGUUGGUAAGGUAACGGCUUACCAAGGCAACGAUGCAUAGCCGACCUGAGAGGGUGAUCGGCCACACUGGAACUGAGACACGGUCCAGACUCCUACGGGAGGCAGCAGUAGGGAAUCUUCCGCAAUGGGCGAAAGCCUGACGGAGCAACGCCGCGUGAGUGAUGAAGGUCUUCGGAUCGUAAAACUCUGUUAUUAGGGAAGAACAUAUGUGUAAGUAACUGUGCACAUCUUGACGGUACCUAAUCAGAAAGCCACGGCUAACUACGUG
rnacentral:rRNA from 1 species